AGAGUUUGAUCCUGGCUCAGAACGAACGCUGGCGGCAGGCUUAACACAUGCAAGUCGAGCGCCCCGCAAGGGGAGCGGCGGACGGGUGAGUAACACGUGGGAACAUGCCCUUUGGUACGGAACAACUCAGGGAAACUUGAGCUAAUACCGUAUGUGCCGGUAACGGGAAAGAUUUAUCGCCAAAGGAUUGGCCCGCGUCCGAUUAGCUAGUUGGUGAGGUAACGGCCCACCAAGGCUCCGAUCGGUAGCUGGUUUGAGAGAACGACCAGCCACACUGGGACUGAGACACGGCCCAGACUCCUACGGGAGGCAGCAGUGGGGAAUCUUGGACAAUGGGGGAAACCCUGAUCCAGCCAUGCCGCGUGAGUGAUGAAGGCCUUCGGGUUGUAAAACUCUUUCGACGGGGACGAUAAUGACGGUACCCGUAGAAGAAGCUCCGGCUAACUUCGUGCCAGCAGCCGCGGUAAUACGAAGGGGGCUAGCGUUGUUCGGAAUUACUGGGCGUAAAGCGCGCGCAGGCGGCUUCUCAAGUCAGGGGUGAAAGCCCAGAGCUCAACUCUGGAACUGCCCUUGAAACUGUGGAGCUUGAGUACGGGAGAGGUGAGUGGAAUUCCCAGUGUAGAGGUGAAAUUCGUAGAUAUUGGGAAGAACACCGGUGGCGAAGGCGGCUCACUGGCCCGUUUCUGACGCUCAGGCGCGACAGCGUGGGGAUCAAACAGGAUUAGAUACCCUAGUAGUCC
rnacentral:rRNA from 1 species